ensembl:lncRNA
ACCUGCAAAUAACACUAAGAAGUAGAACAAGGAUCAAAGAAUAAUGUCAUCUGAGGUAGAAAAAAAAACAAGCUCAGGGAUAUGUGUGAGGGGGUAGAUCCUACAGUGGUUUCUUUCAGGAUCCUGAAUGUCCCAGGGUCUGCUGGGAUAGAGUAUGCAGAGAGACAGAGUUCUGGUCACCUAUGAAGGUAUAACAUUUGGAGGAGCAGCUGCUGUGGAGAUAGAGGAAAUAACCAGAUGUUUAAAGUAACAAGGAAGGGUUCACUUCAUUCUAACCAAAGCAUGGCAAAGCUUAUGUCAUUUUAGAAGUAUGAUUGCCCAGGAGGGGUGGCUUUUUGAGCUUUUGCUACUCUGUGAAGUAACUAUGGAGAUACCUCGUGAUUUCAAGAAUCUACUUUCACCAAUGACAAUGGGGACACAGAUUUGUUUGUUUUCUUCAGUUUAUUCCUUCUAUGAUUCCUCCCAUUCAUAAUGGGAGGAAUAAAAUAUAACCUUGGUGGCCCACAUAUUCAUCUGAGUAAUAUUGACCUUGUGUCUAGCCUUUGUGAAUUGCAUCAUCCCUGUUGUGCUUGUUACCAUCACAAUUCCCAUUGUGUUGGACAGCUUUGGGAUUGGUUGGUCUUUGUUGUCAUGGUUAUAUUUGAGAUCCUGAGCUGGGCAGUUUUCAGCCUGACACAUUGUCAUAUUGAAGAAUAUUGCAUUCAGGCUUCAGAAACCCCCUUUUAAAUAACUUAGUGUUUAGAUGUAGAAACAACAACUCUUCUAAGAAGCUAAAUAAAAGGGAUGAAGAAAUAAAGUAUGCUGAACCAAUGGAUCUGGCCAAUUUGUUUGACACCAUUUCUUCUAUGGUUAUGGCCUGCUAUGCCUUUGGAUACAUGGAUGUGUUCUAUUGGGGGGCUUUAUGGGUCGUAACUACCUCCGUUGGCCAGCUCCUCUUCUCUUAUCAUCACUAUUUGAACAAUGAUGCUUAUCGUACCACCAAAUUUGGCUUCCAUAGUCUCUUUUGGCAGAAACAAGCUUGGGAACAAUUCAUGAUAACAGUAAUCAUCAGGUCAAAAAAUGUGGAUGAGACCAGGGAAGGAAUUAUUGGGGAUUUCUUUUGCUGUAUUAUUGCCAGUAUUUUGGUCCUGACGUCCCUCAGUAUAAGCCUCUUAGAAUUGAUUCAGAAUGUUUUCUUUGCUCUUCUUACUAUCCACACCAUUCAUCAAUUAUCUACUAAGGAAGAUGAAAAAAAUAACUUUUGCUUUGGGAGUAUCUGUUUCCUUUAUGCUCUUAUUUCCCUGUAUGCUACUUGUGCUAGUGUAGUGAAUUCAGAAGAGAAAAAAAAAAUGAUGCCCACUGGGGCCUACGUCAUUUCAAAAUACAAAUUUCUGGAGAUCCUUUGUCCUUUUAAAAACCUCAUUCAGCUUAUUCGAUCAAAUGGAUUCCCAGAAAUCAACAGCUCCCUUAUUUUGAAUACCUUAUUGUAUGUCUGCAAUGGCCUGACUGCCCUCUCAGCUAUCCAGGGCACGUUGAUUAAUUCCUCUAACCAUUCUGGCAGAAUCCCUUCUGUCAUGACUCCAGGAGCCGUGUUUCAGAUAUAUGUGUGCAAUACCCAGGCCCAAAAAGGGGGAAGGUUUUCAACACUCCUGCCAUUCUGUUAUGCUGCUACCUGGGCAACCUGGACUUGGCUUCAAUUUUCAAGGUCUUUCAAUGAUUCUGAAAGCACUAAGGGCAUCUCACUAGGGACUUUGAUCUUCCUGAUAAUCAAUGUCUUCUUCCUCAUAUUAGAUUCUGAUGUAAAUAUAAUCCUGGUGCUAUUGACUCUUUGCAUGGAAAUACUGAGUAUCAGUUUCUUUUUGAUUACUUGUGAACGGUUGCCUCUUCCAUUGGAGGUCACUAUGUUGGCUAUUCUUUGUGCUGUUUCCAUCUAUAUGACUGUAGCUUCUUUCACCAUAUUCAUGUUUAGGACAGACUUUAUUUCCUUGGGAUUCACUGUGAAUGAGAAGCAACAAGAGGCACAUCCAUCUUUGUUCCAUAAAUUCAACUGGCCUAAGUCUUCCUUUCCUGAAUAUUCUGUGCCCAAUGUAAGCCACAGCAGAAGAAGUAUGCUAAACAUUUUAAAAUGCCUUAAAGAUAAUGACUUGUGUACAAAUGCACUUGAGAUGCUGAAUGAUCUGAUGGCAAGGAAGAAAGAAAGUUCUGGGGACCACUGUAGAAUCCAGAAUAUGAGUUUCCCAACAUGUCAUCCUCUGAGGCUGAAAUCUCUUCAACAAGCAAGGAAUGUACAGGCACUUAUAAAGAUCUUUGAGGAUGAUUCCAUAUCUGCUACAUCCACUGACAUUGAAAGGGAAUCUCAGAGUGACUCAUACAAGCAAAAACAGGAGAGGCGGAGUCAAGAUGGCAGCCUAGAAGGAGCAGAAGUUCAGACCUCUGAAUACCCUUCCUUCCCGAUCACAAACUAAAUGCUUCUAGGGGACUGAAAAGCAAACCUAACAAGACAGAGCGAAGGAACCCUCCUGCUGGACUCAAUUCAAAAGAUACGCCCCCUGAAAAGCCAGAAUCUGAGAACACUCAGGUUUAAGGGGAAGGCAGAAGGAAGGUCCCAGAACUCCUCCCGCCGCACACCUAGAGUGCUGAGACUCCAGUGGCAGUGGGAACUUCUGGGCGGGCAAAGGUGCUGAUCAGGAAGGUGUACCUUGCGGCCAGGGCUUUGCCUAGUUCAGAGUGUCAAACACAGAAGCCGGGAAGGAGCUAGAGAGGGAGCAUAUACCUGGCAGCAUGGCCAGAGCUGAGGAGAUACUCCAUAUUUUCUCUAGCCUUCCAGGAGGUUUUGGACUCAGAGAACACUCAACCUGAACUUAAUUCCAUCAAAAUUCUUCAGAACUCAGGGAAGGCCAGGCUCCACACCCCUCCUCAUUGACUGCUGGACAUUAAUCCAAUCAAAAGCCUUCAGAGGACAGGGAAGCUCAAACCCCCAACAAUCCUCUCCCAGAGAUUGCAUCAAGAGAACUUCUGUCAAAGAUCCAAGACUGGAAACUGACAGAAGCCCCCAAAACCAAAAAAAUGAGAGGAGCAAGAGCACAGACAAACACAGGGAGCAAAGAAGGGGUAAAUAUGAGCAAACAACAGAAAAAGAAGAAAGAAAUUACAAUAGAGAGCUUCUAUACAGAGAACAGAACAGAGGAGGAUGCAUCAGCAAACAAUAAAUCUGAAAUCCCAGUGAAUUGGGUAUAGGCU